CCAGACUCUUUCCACUACGCUCAUCGCUGAGGAGGAGCGUAGUGGAAAGAGCCUGAGU
rnacentral:miRNA from 1 species